AUUGAACGCUGGCGGCAGGCUUAACACAUGCAAGUCGAACGAGUGGCGGACGGGUGAGUAAUGCUUGGGAAACUGCACUAUGGAGGGGGAUAACUACGGGAAACUGUCGCUAAUACCGCGUACCAUAGGAUGAGCCCAAGUGGGAUUAGGUAGUUGGUGGGGUAACGGCUCACCAAGGUGACGAUCCCUAGCUGGUCUGAGAGGAUGACCAGCCAAACUGGGACUGAGACACGGCCCAGACUCCUACGGGAGGCAGCAGAGGGGAAUAUUGCGCAAUGGGCACAAGCCUGACGCAGCCAUGCCGCGUGAAUGAAGAAGGCCUUCGGGUUGUAAAGUACUUUCGGUAGGGAGGCGUUACAUACAGAAGAAGCACCGGCUAACUCCGUGCCAGCAGCCGCGGUAAUUC
rnacentral:rRNA from 1 species